rnacentral:tRNA from 1 species
GGGGAUUUAGCUCAGUGGUAGAGCGCUUGCCUAGCAAGUGGAAGGCCCUGGGUUCGGUCCCCAGCUCCA